rnacentral:rRNA from 1 species
CUCAAAGGAAUUGACGGGGGCCCGCACAAGCAGCGGAGCGUGUUGCUUAAUUCGAUGCAACGCGAAGAACCUUACCUGGGCUUGACAUGUAGGGAAAAGCCGUAGAGAUACGGUGUUCCUUCGGGGCCCUACACAGGUGGUGCAUGGCUGGCGUCAGCUCGUGUCGUGAGAUGAUGGGUUAAGUCCCGCACCGAGCGCAACCCUUAUCCUAUGUUGCCAGCGGGUAAUGCCGGGGACUCGUAUGAGACUGCCGGGGCCAACUCGGAGGAAGGGGGGGACGACAUCAAGUCAUCAUGCCCCUUAUGUCCAGGGCUGCAAACACGCUACAAUGGCCGGUACAAAGGGCUGCAAACUCGUGAGGGUGAGCGAAUCCCACAAAGCCGGUCUCAGUUCGGAUUGAAGGCUGCAACUCGCCUUCAUGAAGCUGGAGUUGAUAGUAAUCCCGGAUCAGCACGCCGGGGUGAAUACGUUCCCGGGCCUUGUACACACCGCCCGUCACACCACGAAAG